UUAUUUUGAAAUGGAAAGAAUCCUGUUAUUUUGAAAUCUUUCACAAAACAGAAAAAUCUGUCAAAAAAAAGUCAAAAUACAAAGCAAAUAAGGAAAUAUCAUCCGUAAAUCCAGCCAAGAAAUAUGCAUAUAAACCCCCAGCAAGGAAAAUCACGCAUAACCUAAGGAAAAUCACGCAUAAACUAGAAAAAGAAUAUGUGCAUAAACCAACCAAGAAAUCAAGCAUAAAUCUUAUUACAAAUUGUUACAAAUCAAAUCAGAAAAACUCCAAUAAAAAACUCCAGAAGAACUCCAUCACCGUUCUUCUUCAAGUCGUCCCGAUACACAUUUCGAAAUAUAUGACAUAAGAUAAAUUUGUGUUAUUGGAAUUAUGAAUUGCAUCGGUUUUUAUGAAGCUUUUAAUUUGCGUUUUAAGUUCAUAACAAGAUACAAUAACCAAAGAGCUGAGUUAAGGUUUUUAUUUCUGUUCUAAGUUCGAUUUUAAGUUGGUUGUUAAGUUCGUCAAGUCAUACAAUAACCCAUGACAUAAGUUUAAUGGACGCAAUCGAGACAUGGAAACAGUAUUCCCAACGUUCGGAAAUAAGUGCAAAGGAGUGCAUGUGAUUAAGCAAGUACAUUGCGAAAAGAAAAAAAAUGUGAAACACACUAUUUUAUAUGUAGUAUGUUGAAUUACUUUACAUUAGUACUAAUAUUUAGAUUAACCGAUUCAUUAUUUAGAUUGACAUAUUUGUAUGACCUCAUUGUUUUUAAAUAUGAACUAUGUGAAUUAUUUUGAAGCGCUUAAUAUUUGACG